UUAUCUUAUCUUAUCUUAUCUUAUCUUAGACUGUAUUUGUUGUCUUUCAGUUCCUGCUCUGGAGAUGGACUACGUCAACGUCACAGAGUCCAACCGAGUCAUUGAGAUCAGAGAUGACGGACAGAACAGUUCUGCUCCUGUGGAAGUAUCUUCAAUUUACUGCAACGCCAAGAACAGCAAACCAAUCAGAGCUGAAGACAGCUCAGCUUAACCAGCUGUCAUCUGAACAAAACUGAAGACGACUCCAGUAAACUCGAUUACUCUGAGGUGGAUUUUUCCAACGUUGCUGCCUCCUCUCUGAACAGCGCCCCCUGUGGUGACGUAGAUAACGUCCUCUACUCCUCACUUCAGAUGGAUGUGACGUCCACCAACAGCAUCGGAGGAGCUUCACCUCCUUCUCUGCUCUUGCUUUACAUGUCUUGAGAUUUUAUGACUUCUUUAUUUCAUAACUGUGCAGUGGGUCAAAACAGUUGCUAAUUCACUUUAACGUCUAUGAAAAAAAAACCCGCCGUAUUUCAAUUUGGUUGUACUCUUUGGCUGUACUCCCAAUAAUGUGGCUCUGUGGAUUAUAAUAACGUUCAAGGUUCACAGAAAUAAGAAGUCACGUAAAACCCCUUAUGGCCCCAAUACUCUGGAUUUUGUUACCCCUCUACAGCAAAGAAUGCAAAGUUAGCGUGACCCACAGAACCACAACAACCACAUUCAUGGGAAUUACCCCAAGUUGGAAUAAAUCUGAGUCAUCAUUUAAAUAUUUUAUUGAUACACUGUUAUUGUAAUUCUGGUAAAGUGUAUUGUUUUACUUGUUUAGAAAGGUAAAGGUGUAAAGUUCACACUGCAAAGUCUCUCAGGAUAAUUCAAACUGGUUUUAUGUACUCAGAUUUUCUAACAACUGCGACUGAAGAUGUUGUGACAUGAUGCAAACGUCACUUUUUCUUUAUGUCGUCUAUGAUACAACCGAGGAAUCUCACAAAUCCGUGUAGAGGAGUAAAUUUAACUU